rnacentral:rRNA from 1 species
CCUACGGGAGGCAGCAGUGAGGAAUAUUGGACAAUGGGCGCAAGCCUGAUCCAGCCAUGCCGCGUGCAGGAAGAAGCAUCUAUGGUGUGUAAACUGCUUUUGUACAGGAAGAAACACUCCCUCGUGAGGGAGCUUGACGGUACUGUAAGAAUAAGGACCGGCUAACUCCGUGCCAGCAGCCGCGGUAAUACGGAGGGUCCGAGCGUUAUCCGGAAUCAUUGGGUUUAAAAGGGUCCGUAGGCGGUUUAAUAAGUCAGUGGUGAAAUCUGGUCGCUCAACGAUCAAACGGCCAUUGAUACUGUUAGACUUGAAUUAUAAGGAAGUAACUAGAAUAUGUAGUGUAGCGGUGAAAUGCUUAGAUAUUACAUGGAAUACCAAUUGCGAAGGCAGGUUACUACUUAUGGAUUGACGCUGAUGGACGAAAGCGUGGGGAGCGAACAGGAUUAGAUACCCUGGUAGUCCACGCCGUAAACGAUGGAUACUAGCUGUUCGGAGCAAUCUGAGUGGCUAAGCGAAAGUGAUAAGUAUCCCACUGGGGAGUACGUUCGCAAGAAUGAAACUUAAAGGAUUGACCGGNNGAGAGAGACGAGACGACGACGAGGAGGAGG